CUCUGCCAUGCCAGGAACAUGCAGCAGGUUUACAAGUUAGGGCAGAGGUAUCCCUUUCAUCUGGCUGUCUCUGAAGUUUCUGGAAGAAGGGGUGAGGUCUACACACUGUGGUCGCCUUGACAACCAGGCAGGAGCAUCCAAAGAAACACCACUGUUGCUGGUACCUAUCUUCACCCGGAAUUCUCCCAGACAGAACGCGCUUUCCAUCACUGCCACAUUCUGGGUCAACGCCCUCAUUCUUUGCUCAGUAGUGCCCCCAUCAGGGCUCCUAUCAUCGUUACACCUCAGAGACCUGCACCCUGGCUGUGGGCAGCUGAAUACCAACAAGCACUCCUUAGGCAUGGAGUACUGACUUCAUCUGCUGGCUUCCAACACAGCAAUUUCAGAGGCCUCUCCCGGACACCAUCAAUGGCACAGAUACACACAGAUGCAGAACUCUCAGCUCCUUCUCCAGCACCAUGUCUGCCUGCAUUACACCAUGCUUCUUG